ACCUGGGUGGCUCAGUGGGUUGAGCAUCUGACUUCUGCUCAGGUCAUGAUAUCACGGUUUGCGGGUUCGAGCCCCGUGUCAGGCU
rnacentral:tRNA from 1 species